rnacentral:rRNA from 1 species
UAGGGAAUCUUCCGCAAUGGACGAAAGUCUGACGGAGCAACGCCGCGUGAGUGAAGAAGGAUUUCGGUUCGUAAAACUCUGUUGUUAUGGAAGAAAAAAUGUAUAGUAACUAUAUACAAAAGAGACGGUACCUAACCAGAAAGCCACGGCUAACUACGUGCCAGCAGCCGCGGUAAUACGUAGGUGGCAAGCGUUGUCCGGAAUUAUUGGGCGUAAAGCGCGCGCAGGUGGUUUAGAAAGUCUGAUGUGAAAGCCCACGGCUCAACCGUGGAGGGUCAUUGGAAACUAAUAAACUUGAGUGCAGGAGAGAAAAGUGGAAUUCCUAGUGUAGCGGUGAAAUGCGUAGAGAUUAGGAGGAACACCGGUGGCGAAAGCGGCUUUUUGGCCUGCAACUGACACUGAGGCGCGAAAGCGUGGGGAGCAAACAGG